rnacentral:tRNA from 1 species
AAUGAGUUGCCUGAUUAAAGGGCUAUUUUGAUAGAAUAGAUUAUGUAAAUUUAUUUACACUCAUUA